rnacentral:rRNA from 1 species
AUGAACGCUAGCUACAGGCUUAACACAUGCAAGUCGAGGGGAAACGACAUCGAAAGCUUGCUUUUGAUGGGCGUCGACCGGCGCACGGGUGAGUAACGCGUAUCCAACCUGCCCACCACUUGGGGAUAACCUUGCGAAAGUAAGACUAAUACCCAAUGAUAUCUCUAGAAGACAUCUGAAAGAGAUUAAAGAUUUAUCGGUGAUGGAUGGGGAUGCGUCUGAUUAGCUUGUUGGCGGGGUAACGGCCCACCAAGGCAACGAUCAGUAGGGGUUCUGAGAGGAAGGUCCCCCACAUUGGAACUGAGACACGGUCCAAACUCCUACGGGAGGCAGCAGUGAGGAAUAUUGGUCAAUGGACGAGAGUCUGAACCAGCCAAGUAGCGUGCAGGAAGACGGCCCUAUGGGUUGUAAACUGCUUUUAUAAGGGAAUAAAGUGAGUCUCGUGAGACUUUUUGCAUGUACCUUAUGAAUAAGGACCGGCUAAUUCCGUGCCAGCAGCCGCGGUAAUACGGAAGGUCCGGGCGUUAUCCGGAUUUAUUGGGUUUAAAGGGAGCGUAGGCCGGAGAUUAAGCGUGUUGUGAAAUGUAGGCGCUCAACGUCUGCACUGCAGCGCGAACUGGUUUCCUUGAGUACGCACAAAGUGGGCGGAAUUCGUGGUGUAGCGGUGAAAUGCUUAGAUAUCACGAAGAACUCCGAUUGCGAAGGCAGCUCACUGGAGCGCAACUGACGCUGAAGCUCGAAAGUGCGGGUAUCGAACAGGAUUAGAUACCCUGGUAGUCCGCACGGUAAACGAUGGAUGCCCGCUGUUGGUCUGAAUAGGUCAGCGGCCAAGCGAAAGCAUUAAGCAUCCCACCUGGGGAGUACGCCGGCAACGGUGAAACUCAAAGGAAUUGACGGGGGCCCGCACAAGCGGUGGAGCAUGUGGUUUAAUUCGAAGCAACGCGAAGAACCUUACCAGGUCUUGACAUCCCGAUGCUAUUUCUAGAGAUAGAAAGUUACUUCGGUACAUCGGUGACAGGUGGUGCAUGGUUGUCGUCAGCUCGUGUCGUGAGAUGUUGGGUUAAGUCCCGCAACGAGCGCAACCCCUAUUGUUAGUUGCCAUCAUUCAGUUGGGCACUCUAGCGAGACUGCCGGUAAUAAACCGGAGGAAGGUGGGGAUGACGUCAAAUCAUCAUGCCCCUUAUGACUUGGGCUACACACGUGCUACAAUGGCGUAAACAAAGGGAAGCAAAGCUGUGAAGCCGAGCAAAUCUCAAAAAUAACGUCUCAGUUCGGACUGUAGUCUGCAACCCGACUACACGAAGCUGGAAUCGCUAGUAAUCGCGAAUCAGAAUGUCGCGGUGAAUACGUUCCCGGGUCUUGUACACACCGCCCGUCACACCAUGGGAGUCGGAAAUGCCCGAAGCCAGUGACCCAACCUUUUGGAGGGAGCUGUCGAAGGUGGAGCCGGUAACUGGGGUG